AUGUGGAUCCUGUGCGACAAAGUUCUGUGAACCAUGUCAGGCGGGGAACCGAGCAGCAUUAAGCAGAGUGCUUUGUGUGCCGCAGGUCAUCUGCAUCCC
rnacentral:SRP_RNA from 1 species